AUUGAACGCUGGCGGCAGGCUUUACACAUGCAAGUCGAACGAGUGGCGGACGGAUGAGUAAUGAACGGGCCUCGAGCCUAGGGAGGAGGAUACCUACGGGAAACUGUAGCUAAUACCGCGUACAAUAGGCUGAGUCCAAGUGGGAUUAGGUAGUUGGUGGGGUAAAGGCUCACCAAGCCGACGAUCUCUAGCUGGUCUGAGAGGAUGACCAGCCACACUGGGACUGAGACACGACCCAGACUCCUACGGGAGGCAGCAGUGGGGAAUAUUGCGCAAUGGGGGCAACCUGACGCAGCCAUCCCGCGUGAAUGAAGAAGGCCUUCGGGUUGUAAAGUUCUUUCGGUAGCGAGGCGUUAACUACAGAAUAAGCACCGGCUAACUACGUGCCAGCAGCCGCGGUAAUUC
rnacentral:rRNA from 1 species